rnacentral:sRNA from 1 species
GGCGGUGGUUGCGAGGCGGUGACUCUUGAUCUGGGCAGCGGCUCCUGUGCUUCCAAGCGCCUGCAGCUGCUCUUAUUCCCGCCGCGUUUUAGAGCUCUGUUCCUGAUGAGGAAUUCCUUUCCUCGUUGUUACGUCAUCUUUUCUCCCAGUGAUCCCUGAACCUUAGAUGUGAGAGUUGUGCUGUAGAUGUGUCAGCUGGAACCGGGCUCUACAACUCUGAAUUUUGAUUCGUUUUCUGUAAUGGUCUCCAGUUGUUGCAAAGAGAAGUUUCCUUAAUGAAGGCUGAGAACUUCACUUAUCUGUAGGUAUAAAGACAAAUAUUUAGGGAAUAGGAACCUAUUUAGGUAUUACUUGAUUUAGUAAAGUGGUGAUUAUAUGUUCUCCCUCCAGAUUGUGACUUCACUAGCCCUAAGUAGUCGACUAGGUUUCCAUUUUGUUGAUAUUGUUUUGUUUUUUUAAUGUAUAAAAUGUAACCAAAUAUUGCCAAGUGCUCUGGAGUC